GGGGACUGGCGGGCUCCUGGCGCUGCCUGCGGGAGCGAGCUGACCUGGAGAAAGGGCCGGAAGCUGGGAAGGGCUUGGAGACACCUUGGCCUUGACAAAGCGGGGCGCGGGCGCUGGGAGGGUGCCGAGAGGGAGGGUGCAGGGACGCCGAGACCCCCGAGAGGUGCCUGGGAAGCCCGCGGAGAGGAGCGAGCCCUCCCACCUCCCGAGCGUGCGAGGUUGUUGCAGACUUGGUUUUUCCUUACUAGCCGCUGAGCAGGCAGGGUGGGGGGGCACACUCUGCCUGGGCCUCAGAUUCCACCGCUGCCACUCAGUGCAGGCCACAGUCUUUCUGUGCCCUAGACUGUCGCUAUAUUAUCAAGACCUACCUUAGAGGGUACUUGUGACUAUUUUGAGUAUUUUUGACGUAGUCUCACGGAUCCCACGUGGAGCUGGACUUCACUGUGUAGCUGUGAAAUGACCUUGAUCCUUUGCCAACACUUCCAAAAAGAAAGGAUUCAUGACCUUCAUGCUGGUCUCAAAUUUGGAGGCAGAAACAGUCGGAUCUCCACGAGUUCAAGGCCAGUUUGAUCCAGGCCAGCCAAGACUAAACAAUGAGACCCUUUCUCAACAAACAAAGAAAGUUAGUUUAAGGGGGUCAGCAAGAUAGCUCAGCUGGGAAAGCUCUUACAAAGCAAGCCUGAUGUUUGAAUUUGAUCCCUGGAAGCCAUGUAGAGACGGAAGGGGAGAACUGACUCCCUGAAGUUGCCCUCUGUCCUCCAUACCACCAUGACACAAGUGCACACACACAUACACAAAUAAAUACAUGGAAAAUACAGAGCUCACCAUGCCUCAGCCCCCAGAGGGCAUUUGUUUGUUUGUCUUGUGUGUAUGUGAAGGUAGAGCUGCUUCUUUCUUUCCUUUGUGCGGCUCCUUGGGAUUGAACUCAGGCUGUUGGGCUUGGCAGCAAGCACUCUACUUGCUGAGUCAUCUCUCUAGCCAGUCCCAGCCCUGAUGGGCAUGUGUCAAUCUCAGAGGAGUCGACUAUAUAACUAGAGUCAAAUUCUAAUGAUCUGGUAAUGUGGUUAAGCAGUUUGGGCUUUCAGAGUCACAGAGUGUAUAUUCAAAUCUCAGGUCUACCGCUUACCAGCUGUGGGCCCUGGGCCAAUGCAUUUACUGUUUCCUGGAUCGUACUCCACACCUGUGAAAUGCAGAGACUAAUAUCCGUCUCAUUGGCCUGUUGUGUGCUGAGGACCAAAUGAGGCAGCCGUUUGACAAGACAAUGACUCUGUGCCUAUCAAGCACCAGUUGCUAGUGGCAUACUGGUUAGCAGGGCAGACAGGGUCCCUGGGCCAGAACUGUGCCUGGAUAAAGCAGAGGCUGGCACAUCACAGGCUCGUGUGAAACUUUACCCCAGGGCCACAGGUUCUAUGCCAACCUUGGGCUCUGAAUAAACCCUGCCAACUCAUUUCAUCUUCUUUUGGGUUAUUGUGACUGCCUCCACUCCCCCUGGGUGGAUCCCACAGGCAUUGCAAACCUAAUGUGUUCCACAUGCACCUUAAUUUCCAUAUUCCCCAAACCCAUGUCACUGGUGAAAAGACACUAGUGAACCAUAAGCCUACCUGUGUGUCAAGUUUGGUAAAUCUAGACAUGAACUUAGAUCCACUCCAUCACCAAGUCUGGGCAGUCCUUCCCCCUAGUUCCCCCACCACCACUUCCUUCACUAAACCUUCGAACAACUCAACUAGCUAAAUUCAUCUGGUCUAGAAUCCUCCCGAGACAUGCUAUCUCAAACACAGGACGAUUCUAGGUACCACAGGAAGAGAGAAGCUGCUAAGCGAUGACCUUAAGAAACGUCUCCAUCCACAGUAGGAAGUAAACUAUAGGAGAUGACCAUGGCGCUUGAGAUGCGUUGGCCAUGUCAUGAGAAUGAGUGGUGGCAGAUACCCGAAGACAGCACUGCUUGGAGGAGCGCACGGGAGAAGGGAAGAGGAAGGCUCAAAAGAUGCUCGCUAGACAGCAUAAAGGAAGACUGUGGAACCUUGGGUAUGACAAUAACGCAAGCAUCUAGGACGCCCAAGAUAGGAUAACUAGGGAACGUCAUAAACGGGCUGCCCCUGCAUACUUAAGCAUUGCCGGGGCAUAAAUGAUGAAUAGAUGAAUGAGUAAUCUGGCCGCAGUUAUCUCUUCUUGACCUGCCUUUAGCCUCCUCCCCGCUGAUACUGCAAUAUUGAUGAAAAUGGUAGAUUCCCACCCUCCCUCCACUGAGGUCCACCCCAUGUAUUUUAUAGGAUUAGCCUAGCAAAGCCAAAUUCACUGCUUUAUGAGUCUGUGUUUUAGAGUGGUUCAAUACCUUUAAUAUCUCUACCCCAUCCACCUCCAAAGCCCAACUCAGAGGGCACCUAGAGAAUCUCCCUAGUAGAGCACCUCCCUUCUUUCCCUCAGACCUGCAGUUUCUAAUGUGUUAUAAUGUAUGUGUUUAUGUGUCUUUCGCCUUUACUGGGGUCCACAUUCUUUUAGAACAAAACUGUGUCUUGCUCGCUUCUGAAUCCAAUGCAUGAUACACAGUUGGCACCCAGAACCUUGCUGUUCUAUGAAAUUCAGCCCCCAUUUGUUUCUCUGACCGAAUGUUGUCCACCAAACUCAUAAUAACAACCAACCCUUCUACCAUAUUUUUUCGGGUCUCGGAGCUGUAAUGAGCCCUGUCAAUGUGCCAAUUUGCUUUGCUGAAUGCUCGUAACAGUCUAAAAACAGUUAGCAUCUCCAUUUGCCACUGAAGAAACGGAGUACAGAGUACUUCAUUUGCCUAAGGUCAAGGAGCCAGGAUCCAUAACUCAGUCUAUAUUCUGGAACACUUUGCUGGAUUGGAUCCAGUUCCUCAAUUCCAGAUUAGUUUAUCACGUUGUCCUGAUAAAUUUGCCUGUGAUGAUAGUCAUAUGAUUGGUUAAAAAGCCCCCAAAUAGAUGUUUUUUUUUCUCCCCAAAAUAAACGCGGCAACUGGAGCCCAGGCCACUUACAUUUAGGAUAAAGGUGCUGCCUUUUGUCCCGGGCCUUUUAAACUGGGCCCUUUCCUCAUGGGAUUACUGUAAUGUUCCUUCCUUUUGCGGUGCCAGGGAGCCAACCCAGGGGCUCACACAAGCUAGCAAGCCCUAUAACACUACAUCCUAAGUCUCUGGGCCUGUCUCUGGGAUGAAGUGAGUUUUAUUUGUUUGUU